CCCCAGACUCCUACGGGAGGCAGCAGUGGGGAAUAUUGGGCAAUGGACGCAAGUCUGACCCAGCAACGCCGCGUGAAGGAAGAAGGCUUUCGGGUUGUAAACUUCUUUUAAGGGGGAAGAGCAGAAGACGGUACCCCUUGAAUAAGCCACGGCUAACUACGUGCCAGCAGCCGCGGUAAUACGUAGGUGGCAAGCGUUGUCCGGAUUUACUGGGUGUAAAGGGCGUGCAGCCGGAGAGACAAGUCAGAUGUGAAAUCCCCGCGCUCAACGUGGGAACUGCCUUUGAAACUGGCAAACUGGAGUGUGUGAGAGGAUAGUGGAAUUCCAGGUGUAGGAGUGAAAUCCGUAGAUAUCUGGAGGAACAUCAGUGGCGAAGGCGACUAUCUGGCACAUAACUGACGCUGAGGAGCGAAAGCGUGGGUAGCAAACAGGAUUAGAUACCCCCGUAC
rnacentral:rRNA from 1 species